UUAUUUAACUUAGUUAACUCUAUUAAGUUAUCUAAUUUAUUUACCUUACUAAACUUUUUUAUAUAUGUAACUUAUCUAACUUAUUUAUUUAUACAACUUAGUUAACUCUGUAACAAAGUCAACGUAUCUUAUUUAUUUAUAUAUUAUGUUUUUUGUUAUUGCAUACUAACCCAUGAAACCUAGUGCGUUGUAGUUUACGCUACACUAGGUUGUGGGCUUGUAGAGACAACCCCUAACUGAGCGUGGCUCAUUGAGAUUAGGGUUGCCCAUGUCUCCUAUAUAAGGAGGUUUUCACCUCGUUAUAAGGGCAAGAGACACGUGGCAAACACACUUUUUGUUGCUGGAAAUAGAGGAUUCUUCCUCUACUGGCCGUCUCUACAUCCCCACUUUUCUCUAUUCUCCAUUGCAGAUCUGGAUUCAAGAGGAAGAGCAAGGUGUGGUUCUCCAUCCUCUUAGAGAAAGCGGUUCCAAUCACCCUGGCGGUGAUUCCGUGUUUCUUCAAGUUUUGUUUUGGAUUUUCAAAAUUAGUGAAGAAAUUAGUCAGAUGGGUAGUAAGUAUUUGAAUUAUGCACUGCUACAUAUAAUAUGUUUCUUUCAGUUUUGCAGCAUCUCACAGAUUAAAAUCAAGGGUUUUAUAAGAAUUAUUAUUUCUGGUUGGCUGUAAAACACCAGACAGGAAAAUCAAUAAUCUGGUCUUGGUCGAAACACAAGCACUUCUCUGCACCUCUGGCCACCGACAUACACCAGCAGUCCGGUAUUAUCAAUUGUUGCAGUCCGGUUAACUCAGAAUGGUUUAUGAGCUGUUGAAUAAGAACUUGCUGAUGAGGAUGUAUGGGGUUGUUGGAUGCUGAAUGCUGGUGAAGACUUAAAGACUGAAGAUGUUUGUUUAAGUAGUAUAGUUUUUUUUUUUUUGUGAUUGUUUCGUAUGGAUAUUAAGUGGUUAGUUUUUAUGUUUGGUUUGCUUGGGCCGUUUGUGGUUUCAAAGCUUUGGUUUGUGUUUUGGGAUUGUUUAGAGUGGCUUAGGCUGGGAUUUUUAGAUCCCAUUUUGUUAGGCCUUAGUCAGUUGUGGAUUGGUCUUCUCAUUCGGGUAUAUCUCCAGAGACCCAAUGCUCUUUAGGUGUACAUUUUUUAUUUUAUCAAUAAAGUUUUGCCGGGGUACCGUCCCCUUUAACCAAA